rnacentral:rRNA from 1 species
AUAGCGUAUAUUAAAGUUGUUGCAGUUAAAAAGCUCGUAGUUGAACUUCAGACCUGGUCGAGUGGUCCGCCUAACGGUGUGUACUGCUUGACUGGGCCUUACCUCUUGGUGAGCCGGCGUGCCCUUUAUUGGUGUGCGUCGGGGAACCAGGACUUUUACCUUGAGAAAAUUAGAGUGUUCAAAGCAGGCCUAUGCCCGAAUACAUUAGCAUGGAAUAAUAGAAUAGGACGUGCGGUUCUAUUUUGUUGGUUUCUAGAGUCGCCGUAAUGAUUAAUAGGGAUAGUUGGGGGCAUUGGUAUUGAGUCGCUAGAGGUGAAAUUCUUGGAUUGACUCAAGACCGACUAUUG